rnacentral:tRNA from 1 species
GUGAGUGUAGCCAAGAGGCCUAAGGCGCUAGUUUGUGGCACUAGAGAUCGAGGGUUCGAAUCCCUUCACUCACC